UACGUAGGGUGCGAGCGUUGUCCGGAAUUAUUGGGCGUAAAGAGCUUGUAGGCGGUGUGUCGCGUCGGCCGUGAAAACCUGCAGCUUAACUGUGGGCUUGCGGUCGAUACGGGCAUCACUGGAGUUCGGCAGGGGAGACUGGAAUUCCUGGUGUAGCGGUGGAAUGCGCAGAUAUCAGGAGGAACACCGGUGGCGAAGGCGGGUCUCUGGGCAGUAACUGACGCUGGAGGAGCGAAAGACGUGGGGAGCGAACAGG
rnacentral:rRNA from 1 species